ACCGCCAAAACCCCCAAAAGAGAAAAAUAAACGCUGUAGCCUUCGGGAACGGUUGUUUCGGCUCCUGUUCUGUGGGCGGCUGAGGACCGCCGGCUGCCGGGCUCGGAGAAGAACAGUCUGAAAACUGUGGUGCAGAGACAUUAAAUGCCUUUCACAAACGUACGAGGGUGUAAGUGGCAGAGGCGGAGUCUGAACACAUCUACUGGACCCCUAAUUGGAAGCUCUUAGCAGAGGGCAGCAGGGUUAUCAGGCCUCUGCCAGAAACUCGAACUGUCCUUGGUGAUUCAUUUUUAAAAUCUGAGGUUAGAAUUGUGGAAGACGUAAUGGAAUGACGUAAAGAGGGAAAUCAAGUACC
rnacentral:lncRNA from 1 species